rnacentral:snRNA from 1 species
GUUUGUAUGCCGUAGCAAGAACAUAUACUAAAAUUGGAACGAUACAGAGAAGAUUAGCAUGGCUCCUGCGCAAGGAUGAGAAGCAAAAUCGCGAAAAUCAUUCCACAUUAUU